CAUUGCAGAACAUUCCUCGUGGUCGGUUCGGAAGUUCCCCUCUAGUUGUUUCGGAAACUACCCCCGCUAAUUUGUUUUCAGGAACGAGCUGCAAUACAUCGCAACUUAACUAACAGAGGUGUAUUUCCAUGGCUACAGGUACAGUCAAGUGGUUCAACGAUGCCAAGGGCUUCGGCUUCAUUACCCCGUCUGACGGCGGCAAGGACGUGUUUGUUCAUCACUCCGCCAUUCAGGGCAGCGGCUUCAAGUCGCUCGCGGAAGGCCAGAAGGUGAGCUUCAACAUCGAACAGGGCCCGAAGGGUCCGUCGGCGACGAAUGUCCAGCCGGCCUAAGUCGUUCACACGACGCCAGGUGUUUUAAAGUAAAGGCCCCGCCUCCGUGCGGGGCCUUUUUU
rnacentral:sRNA from 1 species